GAAGCUAAAUCUACAGCAAAUAUUUGCUUUUCUGGUUCUGGCUGUGACAGUAAUUCAGGAAUCCAAUCAAGACAAAUAUGCAUGGAUGGAAUACCAGUAACUGUAAUGGGUAACAGCUCUCUUGGAUAACCCUAUAAGCAAAGAAAUAUGGAAGAAUAUGUAGAGGACAAAGGAGGGAUAAUAGAACUGAUUGAAAGUCGGGAUUUAUUUCAGAGAAAAGAACCUGACUCUAAAUGCGAGAAAAUCAAAGAGUCAUGAGGAACGGUGGUCAGGAAGUUCUUGUUAGAGAAAGGGUUAGGAAGGCGGCGGUGGUAAUAAGGUAAGUGGGCGGAGAGGGGGGAGGGGGAAGAUUUGCCGGAAAAGAACAUAUUCGGAAAAAGCUAGUCGAAAAGGAUAUAAUUGUGUUCUGUAUGGUGUGUGACAUUUGUGUGCAAGCAGAACAUCGUAAUCCCAUAGGAAGAGCAGUGAAGAUUAUUAUUAUUACUCUCUCUCUCUCUCUCUCUCUCUCUCUCUCUCUCUCUCUCUCUCUCUCUGUGUGCGUGCGCGCGCGUGUGUGUGUGUGUGUGUGAUACGUAAAUAAUUAAUAUUCAAUAUUUAAUAUUUUAAUAAGUAAAAAUAAAAAUAAACAAAUUUGGUUGUACAUACUUGAAAAUGAACCAAUUUAGCCAAUGAUGGGUCUGCUAUGAAGACUUGAUGCAAAUAUGAACAGAUUAUACUUUGUAUUUCUCUCAAUGACCACAUCUGUCCGGGUGUUUCUCUAUCUUCUGCUGUCUCCAAACAUGCUUCUAAUAAUAUUUGGACAGCCGCACUUUCUUGUCCUGCCACUAAUGCUGUUCUUAAAUCUUCUCUUUCAGCUUCACUUGAUAACUGACCAAUCUUUUCUAUCAAUGGUUUGUCUUGUAUAUGUCUGGAUAACUGAGAUCGAGAAGCUGCUAAUGCAGCUUGUAGAAUUCUAAAAAUAUUUGUACCAAUGAAGUACCAAUCGAUAAUAAGUAAUUGAACGUUAAAUAUUUUACGGCUUACUCAAUCUCUUUUUUACCUUAAAAUAACGGACAAAAUUGGAGCACAUCUAAAAACUCUCGUAUCACAUCUCAAUACUUGUAAUGGAUCUAACACAAUAUUUUCUUGUGUUAAAAAAACAUUUUUUACGAGAGAAUUUUCUAUUAAUAAAGCAUUUAUUGACAAAACCCAUAA